CUACGGGAUGCAGCAGUGAGGAAUAUUGCACAAUGGGGGGAACCCUGAUGCAGCAACGCCGCGUGGAGGAUGACGCAUUUCGGUGUGUAAACUCCUUUUAUAUGUCAAGAAAAUGACGGUAGCAUAUGAAUAAGCACCGGCUAACUCCGUGCCAGCAGCCGCGGUAAUACGGAGGGUGCAAGCGUUACUCGGAAUCACUGGGCGUAAAGGACGCGUAGGCGGGUUGGAAAGUCAGGUGUGAAAUCCUACAGCUUAACUGUAGAACUGCACUUGAAACUUCUAAUCUAGAGUAUGGGAGGGGGAGAUGGAAUUAGUGGUGUAGGGGUAAAAUCCGUAGAUAUCACUAGGAAUACCUAAAGCGAAGGCGAUCUCCUGGAACAUUACUGACGCUAAGGCGUGAAAGCGUGGGGAGCAAACAGGAUUAGACCCUCGUAGUC
rnacentral:rRNA from 1 species